UCUCUUGGCUCUUUUGCUCUGAGGGAAGCCAGCUGCCCUGUCAUGACGGCCACUUUGGAGGCAGAUUCUCCAGCCUCGGUCAGGCCUUCAGAUGACUGCAGCCCUGGCUGAUGACUUGACUGCCACCUCAUGAGAGACCUUGAGCCAGAACCACCCAGCAAAGCCACUCCUGGAUUCUUGAUCCACAGACACUAUGUGAGACAAUAAACGUUUAUUGUUUAAAGCCA